CGUUAUUGUUAUUGAUCUUAUUUUACUUUUAUAGACACUUAUAUUUGAUGUUAUUUAUAUAGUUUUCAAAUGAUGGUUGCAGCUCAAGGUUGACACUCAAAAGAUUUUAUAACCCUUGUGAAGGAGUGAUGAAAGCAUCAAAAUUGAUGUGAUACGGAUAAUUAUUUUCUCUUGUAAAAGAAUAUUGAUAUGUUUGAGUAAAAUGAUGUUUCACUAUUUUAGAAGACAUUGUUGAAUCUUUAUUAAGUAUUUUUUUAAUACAUUAUAUACAAUAAACAAUUUAUUAUA